rnacentral:rRNA from 1 species
AGAGUUUGAUCAUGGCUCAGAUUGAACGCUGGCGGAAUGCUUUACACAUGCAAGUCGAACGAUGAACCUUAGCUUGCUAGGGGGAUUAGUGGCGAACGGGUGAGUAAUAUAUCGGAACGUAUCCAAUAGUGGGGGAUAACGAGUCGAAAGAUUCGCUAAUACCGCAUACGCCCUGAGGGGGAAAGUGGGGGACCGCAAGGCCUCAUGCUAAUGGAGCGGCCGAUAUCUGAUUAGCUAGUUGGUGAGGUAAAGGCUCACCAAGGCGACGAUCAGUAGCUGGUCUGAGAGGACGACCAGCCACACUGGAACUGAGACACGGUCCAGACUCCUACGGGAGGCAGCAGUGGGGAAUUUUGGACAAUGGGCGAAAGCCUGAUCCAGCCAUUCCGCGUGAGUGAAGAAGGCCUUCGGGUUGUAAAGCUCUUUCGCAAGGGAAGAAAGAUUACUUUUUAAUAAAGAGUGAUUAUGACGGUACCUUGAUAAGAAGCACCGGCUAACUACGUGCCAGCAGCCGCGGUAAUACGUAGGGUGCGAGCGUUAAUCGGAAUUACUGGGCGUAAAGCGUGCGCAGGCGGUUUUGUAAGUCAGAUGUGAAAUCCCCGAGCUCAACUUGGGAACUGCGUUUGAAACUACAAGACUAGAAUAUGUCAGAGGGGGGUAGAAUUCCACGUGUAGCAGUGAAAUGCGUAGAGAUGUGGAG